UAUUCAUGCUUGAGAAUUGCCUUUUGAAUUGAAUAUUUGAGUUUGCCAUGGUGAAAAAUAUAUUGAUGACCCUCAAUUGAUUGAGAAUAAAUUAAAAUUGUGUGAAUGAACUUAAUGUGACUUGAUUUAGCGAAUGGUGUUGAUCUGCCCAAAUCAUUGAGAGAAAGAAAAUUCAGCAAAGGCAAAGACCUCAAAAGCACAAAUUGAAAAUUGUUCCAAUAGUCAAAAGACUAUGAACAAGGCAAGUAGCCACUUGGAUAGGUGACCAACUGAAAAAUAUAAACUUUCAAAACAAAAAUAGGUUGGUGACCUUUCCAAGCGAGAUCUAAAGUGCAAAAGCCUGAAUAAAGUACUUCAAGGUAAGGGCAAGUCAAUCCAAAAGCUAGAAAAAGUCUUAACAAAAAUGAGCAUGUAUGGUCUCUCUUGAGGAAAACAAAUCCUAGCCAUGGUAAGUAAAGGGAAACAAGGAAAGAAGGUGAGUAAUCUUCAUGCAUAUAUUCUUCACUGCAAUGAUUCAAAAUAGGUGUCUAGAGUAAGAGCUUAAGUGGAAAUAAGGAUCAAGUAGCAAACAAAGCUUAUUUGACUAUAUUUAUUUGCUUGAGGACAAGCAAAAGACUAAGUGUGGGGGUAUUUGAUAGAGCAUAAUUUACUCCAUUUUAUAUUAAUAUUAUUGAUAAAUAUUUACAUGAUUUCUGCUUAAUUUAUUGCUUUUAAUAUUAUUUUGUAGAAAAUGGUGUAAAAGGACAAUUUGGAGAAAAUCCCCCUAAAACUGCCUUAUUUGGAGUAAAAGAGAGCAAGUCUGCCAAAUUAAAUCCAAAACGAGCUAAGACGGGAAAAAUAUUUUGAAGAUUAAAUAUUCAAGCAACUUUGCAAACGUGGACCAAGCUCAACUCACGCCCAUGGAUAAAGCCCCUGCACCUUCAAUUCGCGUGGACCCGCCCGCGCGCAAAGCCCAGCGCAUGGACCCGCCGAAGCUCCUCUCUGCACGUGGACCGCUUCAUCCAUUCCAGCACCCAACACUCACGCGGCCCGCUUCUCCACCUUACACUUCACGCGAACCAAGCCCGCGCAUCCUUCACCAACGCGCACGUGGACCGCCUAGGCUUCAAUUUUAACACUGUGGACCAGCACAAUGGCCCGCCAAGCACUUCCUCAACUCCAACGGUUAGACAGCCCAUCUCACGCAAUGGACCAAGGCCAUUCUUCCAUGUGGCCCACACUUCCGCUUCAAUGCUCACAGCGCACAUGGACCGCGCCUCACCUCUUCACAUGGAUCAAUCUUCACGCAUGGCCCGCGCCUCACCAAGCCAUCUACACACGUGGGCAGCCAAUUAGGGCGACUCCUCUGGCUCUAUUUAAAUAGCUCUUCAGUGGAAGGACAAGGGACAAUUCUCAUUCGGCAAUUUCCGCCGCUCCAAGCGCACAGGCAGAAUUCAAGAUUUCAACCUCG
rnacentral:lncRNA from 1 species